rnacentral:tRNA from 1 species
GCCAGCGUAGCUCAGUGGUAGAGCAGCUGAUUCGUAAUCAGCAGGUCAUCGGUUCAAAUCCGAUCGUUGGCUCCA